UACGUAGGUGGCAAGCGUUGUCCGGAUUUACUGGGCGUAAAGCGUGUGUAGGCGGACGCUUAAGUAGAAAGUGAAAGGUUGGUGCUCAACACCAACAUUGCUUUCUAUACUGGGUGUCUUGAGUGCCGGAGAGGAAGAUGGAACUGCACGUGUAGCGGUGAAAUGCGUUGAGAUGUGCAGGAACACCAAUGGCGAAGGCAAUCUUCUAGACGGAAACUGACGCUGAGACACGAAAGCCAAGGGAGCGAACAGG
rnacentral:rRNA from 1 species